rnacentral:lncRNA from 1 species
AAUUCCCUGAGUCUCAGAGUUCCCACUGUGGUACAGCAUGUUAAGGACCUGGCAUUGCUGCAGCAGUGGCAUAGGCCACAGCUCUGGCUUGGAUUCAGUCCCUGGCCCAGGAUCUUCCAUGUGCUGCAGGUAUGGCCAAAAUAGAAAAGAGAAAAAGCAAAACAAAAUAGAAUGCCCUGAGUCUCAUGUGGCGCUGCGGACCUGGCGGGUGGGAGCUGACAAAAACCAGCCUGGACAACUUCAUGAGUGAGGCCCCUUCUCUUAAAUUAAAAACAGAUGCAUCCCCUGGUGGUGCAGCAGGUUAAGGAUCCAGUGUUGUCACUAUUAGGCCACAGGUUCAAUCCCUGGCCCAGGAACUUCUGCGUGGCUUAGGCACAGCCAAAAAAUAAAAAUAAACACAGGAACAUAGAGGAGGAUAUAAACACAUUUAGAGGAAGGAGUUAUUAGGGGUUAAGCUGCCAGGAGUCCGGAACUACUCCUUCUCUUUCCAUCCUCCCACUAAAGGGGCCGUGACAGCACAGUAGUUUUAUUAAAUUACUAUGGCAAUACUAGCCAAUGCAAUUAGUCAAGAGAAAGAAAAAAAAACUGUAAAAAUUAGGAGGAAAGUUGAACUUCAUUAUUAUUGUAUAAUGUCUAUUACUGCUGUUGCAAAUAAUAUGUUGUUAUCAGAAAAACCCAAGAGAAUCAAGGAAAAAAUGAUUAGACGCAAGAAAGGAAGUUAUUGAGGCUUUCCUUAUUUCAGUAACCCUCCAAAAAUGGUAGCAGAAGAAAGGAUUCUACUGGAAAUAUCUAAAAGUGUACAAUACUCCAGAAUAAAUUAAUAAUAAAAAUGAGAUAUAGAAGAAAACUAAAAUACUUCGCUGAGAAAUUUUUAAAAAUCCAAAUAAAUAAGGAAUGGGGGGCAUGCCAUGAUAUUGGGUGAAAACAGUAAAUAUUAUUUAACAAGGUCAGCCUUUACCAAAUUCAUUUAUGUUACCAUGCAGUUAGGAUCCCAGUGAACAUUUUUUUUGAUAAUCGUGUUAAUCUGCUCAGCUGCCCUAACAAAAUACCUUCAACUGUGUGGCUUAAAUGGCAGAAAUUUAUUUUUUCACUGUUCCAGAGGCUAGAAGUUCGAGCUUAGGAUGCUAGCAUGGUCAGGGGUUGGUUUUUCCGUUAUCAUGAGAGCUCUUCUUGAGGGCUUGGAGAGAUGCCAGAGGUCUUGGCAUCUCUUCUUAUGAGAGCACCAAUCCCAUCAAACCAGGACUCAGCCUACCUGACUUCCCAGUGGCUCCAUCUCCAGUACCAUCCCAUCGAGCGUAGACCAUUCCAAUAGGAAUUCAGGGGGAAGGGGACCCAAACAUUCAGUCCAUCAUAGUAAUUUGAUUAGAUAACCAUGUAUUGGAUUUAGAAAAAUAAAUGAGGAAUAAUUUCCAGUGAAAUUUACCUUUUCAUUUAUGGGUUCAAUACUCAGAUCAAUGAAAUAUUAUCAUGGUUGACAAAUGUUUUCUGCAAAGGGCCAGACAAUCUUAUUUUUGGUGUUGGGAGCCAAACUAUCCAUCUCUGGGAUAGCACAAAAGUGACCAUAGAUAAAAUACGAACAACUGAGCAUGCUGUGCUCCGGUAAAACUUUAUUACACUGAAAUUUGAAAUGUGUAUAAUUUUCAUGUGUCAUGAGAUACUGGUUUUUCCCCCUCAAUUGUUUAAAAAUGCAAAAGUAAGUCUUAGCUCAAGAGCAAGCUGUAAAACACAAACGGCUCACCUGAUUGGGCCCAUGGGCCAUAGUUUGACAACCCCUGG